CUUUCUCCCUCGCAUAUCUAUCUCCUCUUAAAUGGCCAAAUAUAUUAUUUUAAUUUUUUUUUCUUUUUUGUUUUGUUGGGUUAAACUUCUCUCACCUUGAGCCCUGGAGCUGUUCCUCCGUCGGCGACUCUCUGUCCACCAGGCAAAAGGAAACAGUGUUCGAAGCGGAGAUUUCAAGCAAAUAUGAAACAGAGGAAAGAUGGGUGUGGGAAAAAGACAGAGGAGGCCGAAGCCUCUCGCUCCGAUUAAACACGGUGGAGAACCGUUCCAGUUAUCUGCAAUUUCACAGAGCCGGGUGUCCAAAGCCAGCCGUAGUUCCGUCGUCAGUGUACUGUCCCAUCUACCCACCUCGGAGGCGUCCCGGCCGUGGCCAUCAAACACCGAGAUCCGUAUGAAGAUUCGACUCCCAAACCCUAGCCACCGUAAUCGACUUUGCAUCUCCGCCUUCUCACAGGUCCGAGCCACCAUGUGCUCCUCGUUUUCCUUACCGUUUAGGAGUGAGUCCACGCCGGACAAGAAAUCCAACAAGGAGAACCGCCAUCUCCAAGUGAGCACCACCGUCAACAUGCUCUCCCCCAACUGUCGCUACAAACCCUAAGCGGUCCCGAUAAAUGACCAGCAGAUCCGACCGCAACUCCGUCGCCUUCUAACAGCGUACCGCUGCCAACGACCCGACGAGUCACCAGAACCACCGAGCUUUCCUAUGGGUCCGGCUUAGGACACAGCUAAGCAAAUGUCUGUGAAUUGUCUGUGAAUGUCUGUUCAUUCACCAUCAUCAUGAUUCACCAUCAUCAUGUCUUUCAUCAUCUUGUCUUUAUCAAAAAAAAUGUCUGUGAAUUGAGAAGAGGAAGCAAGACCUCGUAAAGUUUUUGUGGCAAAAAACAAGAGAUUUUUAGUUUUUAUAAGGAUAUAUUUGGGAUU